rnacentral:rRNA from 1 species
UACGGAGGGGGGCUAGCGUUGUUCGGAAUUACUGGGCGUAAAGCGCGUGUAGGCGGUUAUGCAAGUCGGGUGUGAAAGCCCAGGGCUCAACCCUGGAAGUGCAUUCGAUACUGCGUAGCUAGAGUACUGGAGAGGAUGGUGGAACUCUCGGUGUAGAGGUGAAAUUCGUAGAUAUCGAGAAGAACACCGGUGGCGAAGGCGGCCAUCUGGACAGAUACUGACGCUGAGACGCGAAAGCGUGGGGAGCGAACAGG